rnacentral:rRNA from 1 species
AUGAACGCUGGCGGCGUGCCUAAUACAUGCAAGUCGAGCGAACAGACGAGGAGCUUGCUCCUCUGACGUUAGCGGCGGACGGGUGAGUAACACGUGGAUAACCUACCUAUAAGACUGGGAUAACUUCGGGAAACCGGAGCUAAUACCGGAUAAUAUAUUGAACCGCAUGGUUCAAUAGUGAAAAACGGUUUUGCUGUCACUUAUAGAUGGAUCCGCGCCGCAUUAGCUAGUUGGUAAGGUAACGGCUUACCAAGGCAACGAUGCGUAGCCGACCUGAGAGGGUGAUCGGCCACACUGGAACUGAGACACGGUCCAGACUCCUACGGGAGGCAGCAGUAGGGAAUCUUCCGCAAUGGGCGAAAGCCUGACGGAGCAACGCCGCGUGAGUGAUGAAGGUCUUCGGAUCGUAAAACUCUGUUAUUAGGGAAGAACAAAUGUGUAAGUAACUAUGCACGUCUUGACGGUACCUAAUCAGAAAGCCACGGCUAACUACGUG